GGAGGCGUGGCUGAGUGGCUGAAAGCAGCACACUGCUAAUGUGUUGAGCUCGUAAGGGCUCCAUAGGUUCGAAUCCUAUCGCCUCCG
rnacentral:tRNA from 1 species